AUGACGGACUGCAUCUGCCCAGACGAUUUUUGCAACGGCCACGACGAAGUGCAUCUCUCAAUUCCAGGAUCAGCAUGCUGGAUGAAUCCUCCUUGCCUGUUAAGUCGCAAUGGUGCAACCAAACACCAUGGAGGCUUCUGUAUUAGGGACGGUGAAUCUGCAUCGACAGUGAUGGAUGGAAAUUGCUCGCCCUCCUUCCUCCAUAAACCAUGGGGACCUUGUAUACUUGUAUUAGCCUCCCCAUCUAUCCAUCAGGAAGCCCUGACUUCCCCUGCUAUUGCUGUCGAAAACGCUACCCUUGCAGAACAUGAACUGAACUUAAGUAUGGCACAUGGAGCUUCAGAUAAUUUGAAGCCUCAAAUGGGGAUGACAUUUGAAGGACUGAAGGUUGCGGAGUAG
rnacentral:rRNA from 1 species